rnacentral:rRNA from 1 species
ACCAGACUCCUACGGGAGGCAGCAGUGGGGGAUAUUGCACAAUGGGGGGAACCCUGAUGCAGCGACGCCGCGUGGGUGAAGAAGCGCCUCGGCGCGUAAAGCCCUGUCAGCAGGGAAGAAAAUGACGGUACCUGAAGAAGAAGCCCCGGCUAACUACGUGCCAGCAGCCGCGGUAAUACGUAGGGGGCAAGCGUUAUCCGGAUUUACUGGGUGUAAAGGGGGCGCAGACGGCGAUGCAAGCCAGGAGUGAAAGCCCGGGGCCCAACCCCGGGACUGCUCUUGGAACUGCGUGGCUGGAGUGCAGGAGGGGCAGGCGGAAUUCCUGGUGUAGCGGUGAAAUGCGUAGAUAUCAGGAGGAACACCGGUGGCGAAGGCGGCCUGCUGGACGGCAACUGACGUUGAGGCCCGAAAGCGUGGGGAGCAAACAGGAUUAGAUACCCCUGUACCG